CGUGUACACCUUCGCCUUCCGCACCACCGCGCUGAGCCCCGUCAUUGCCUAACAGCCCCGUCAUUGCCUAACGGAACAAGUGGCCGGGGGAUUAGGCCUCGCACUGGUUCUACCACAAGGUCCCCCUCGACCCCUCGAUGAAGAGCCACCAGCUGGUGGUGAGGGAGAUCGUCGUCCUCGGGGAGACGCCUGUGGUGGAAGUUGACGAGACACUAGAGCACGAAGCCCUCGUUGCAAUGCUCCGCGAGGUAUCGAAGGUCUUCGGGACCCGAGACAUUGUCGAGGAGUUCAUGGCGUGUCGAUGCUUCCCUUUCCGCGAAGGGUGGUCCAUCUCCUCGUGGGCAGCUAAGGAGAAAUGGGUGGGUGGCGUCCCCAUGCCCAAUUUCACCACCUCCUUCGGCAUCAAAAAGGAGGAUACUGACCCGGUAGCGGUCGAAAUUUUGGCCAACGAGGUCAUUGACGCCGAAGCCAACAACGAGCACUAGCUGCUCGUGGCAAAGUUGGGCGGCACCCGGAACAACCGGGUGUUCACAUUUUUCGAUAUGAAGGCUCCCCGGCGUGUUGCCGAAGCAUGGCUUAUUGAAGCCGAGGAAAAGAAGAAGGCAAAGGCCCGGGCCAAGGUUUUCGCGGCCCCUCGGGGUGCUGGUACCACCGGCACCCUAGAGAAGGAAAAGAGGAGCAGCGGUGGUGGAGGCGCAGGUGCAACGAAGCGCCCCCGCGUGCUAGAGAAGAUGAUCACCGGAUCCCCCCUUCGGAGCAAGGGCGAUUUUGAGGAGGCUGUGAGCUCCAGCGACGAGCCUGGCGCUCCGAAGGCCACCACUGCCGCACCAAUCGCCGCCGCAUCCCCAAUUCCGGUGGUGCCUCUAUCUGUGGCUCCUGCCACCGAGAAGGCACUUCUCGGUGGAGUGGAGUGAAAUGGAGCCGGAGAGCAGCGACGAGGUGGGGCAACAGCCUCAUGCAUCUGCGGCCUCGGCGGCACCGGCCGUGAAGGCCCCGGAGGACACAGCGACGUCGACGGAGAAGGCCGCGUCCCCUUCCGCCGACUCGUCUUCGUCGGAGGAGAAUGAUGGAGGCCAAGGUGGCCAGGCUAAACGCGCUGUGGCGGAGGCGCAGACGGGCGUCGGGGCCGAUGGCGAAACUAGCUGCAGGCCUGCAGCAGCUCAAGCUCUUCGGAAGAGAGCAGCAGCUCAAGCUCUUCGGAAGAGAGCAGCAGCUCAAGCUCUUCGGAAGAGAGCAGCAGCUUCCUGGUGAGCAGCAGCUAGGUCAUUGGAAGCCUUCGCUUCGAAUGCGGGGAGCGCGAGCAGUGGUUGUUGUCCGAGGCGGGAGAAUCCUUCUGCGUCCCAUUGAUGGAGCGAAGACUGAUGAGGACCGGAGCUGGACACGCCCUAUGCUGCGCCGAGGACCUCGCUCUGAAGUCUUACGUCGCGGCAAGAUGCGCCCACCAUCAGAUGGCAAUAGAGCGGGGCGAAGCUUCGCGGGUGGUGGGGAUGGAAGAGAGGAUCGCCCAGCUCGAGCGCGAGAAGACCGCUCUGUAAGACACUCUGUCCUCCGUCCGCGCCGAAGCCGAGGCUACCCUGGAGCAGCUCAAGACCACUCGCCAGGAAGCCGAAGCUGCCAAGGUGGAGGUGGCCGAAGCCCACCGUCAAGCCGCCGUGAAGGAAAAAGAGGCGAAAGAGAGCGAAGCCCGGCGGCAGGCGGUGCGCCAGACCAUCAUCGCCUCCUAUCGCGAAGCCAUCCGCGCUGGGGCCGAGCCGCUGCAGGAAGAUAUUAGCAAUCUGCUGGCGAGGCUUGGCCUGGAGGCCCCGGAACUGUCUCCGAACUCCGAGAACAUCAGCAUCUAGGAGCUCUUCUGGUGGCUUCAGGCCUGUGUGGCCAUGGCGGAUUCCGGCAAUUGGGCCAUCGGCGAUCUCAGUGCCGCUGUGUCCGCCCGGUCACUAAGCGCCGCGGUUUGCAAGCUUCUCGCAGCCGGCGCCAGAGCGGACGCGGCUAUCACGAAGGCACAACUUCGGUCGCUACGCGACGUGUCAUUCAAGUGGCCUUCGCCGGAGGAAGUCGGCCCGAUGCCCUGCCGCCUCUCCCGAAGAACAUCGCGAAGAACUUUACAGGGACAUUCUUCCGGGAGAAUGGGCGAUGCCUCGUCCAUGCCGAGGCGGAGCGGCUGAGAGAUCAGCUACAAGCCAAGGCUGAAGCUUGGGCGCGCACCUUCCUUGGCCUGG